rnacentral:rRNA from 1 species
CGUGCUUAACACAUGCAAGUCGAACGAUGAAGGAAGAGCUUGCUUUUCUGGAUUAGUGGCGAACGGGUGAGUAAUACGUGAGUAACCUGCCCUUGUCUUUGGGAUAAGCCUGGGAAACUGGGUCUAAUACUGGAUAUUCUGCUUUUACCGCAUGGUGGGGGUUGGAAAGGGUUUCUGGAUAGGGAUGGGCUCACGGCCUAUCAGUUUGUUGGUGGGGUGAUGGCCUACCAAGACUGCGACGGGUAGCCGGCCUGAGAGGGUGGUCGGUCACAUUGGGACUGAGAUACGGCCCAGACUCCUACGGGAGGCAGCAGUGGGGAAUAUUGCACAAUGGACGCAAGUCUGAUGCAGCAACGCCGCGUGGAGGAUGACGGCUUUCGGGUUGUAAACUCCUUUUAUCACUGAAGAAGGGAAACUGACGGUAGGUGGUGAAUAAGCAUCGGCUAACUACGUGCCAGCAGCCGCGGUAAUACGUAGGAUGCGAGCGUUAUCCGGAUUUAUUGGGCGUAAAGAGCUCGUAGGCGGUUUGUUGCGUCUGCUGUGAAAGUCCGGGGCUUAACUCCGGGAUUGCAGUGGGUACGGGCAGGCUAGAGUGCGGUAGGGGUAACUGGAAUUCCUGGUGUAGCGGUGGAAUGCGCAGAUAUCAGGAGGAACACCGAUGGCGAAGGCAGGUUACUGGGCCGUGACUGACGCUGAGGAGCGAAAGCAUGGGGAGCGAACAGGAUUAGAUACCCUGGUAGUCCAUGCUGUAAACGGUGGAUACUAGGUGUGGGGCCUUUUCCAUGGGUUCUGCGCCGGAGCUAACGUGUUAAGUAUCCCGCCUGGGGAGUACGGCCGCAAGGUUAAAACUCAAAGGAAUUGACGGGGGCCCGCACAAGCGGCGGAGCAUGCGGAUUAAUUCGAUGCAACGCGAAGAACCUUACCAAGGCUUGACAUGCACC